UCCCUUCAAUACAUUUCGAGUUCCCUAGAAUUAAGAGGAUUUUAUAUUAUGAAAAAAAAAAUAAUAAAACCUUCAAAAUUCUCUCCUCUCAAUGUCAUCUAUUUGUUCCUCUUUCUCCUUUUUUUUUUUUUUUUUAGCCCUUCACUUUUCACGAACUUCCAAUUAGACCUAAAUCAUCGCUAGGAAGUUUCUUCGAAACUUCAUAAAAACAGCAAAGCAUGAAUUGAUCUUACAUUGCUGAAAAAAAAUACAUGGGAAGGACAACAUUGAUUAACACUUGACAUCCUCAAAAGCUAUGAUACAUCCAAAAAUAAAUGAUUCUUAACACACCUAAUUACAUAAAUUCACCGUACCCCAUUGACAUACUAUAUAUUUUAUUAAGAACAAAAAGUACUCUUCACACACACCAUUUUGGUAUACAAAACUCCAAAACAAGUUUACCUCUUGUCUAGGUAAUCUAGAAAUUGCAAGAACUCAAAUGUGUAACGUAUACAAAGGUCUCUCUCUAACCCAGCAAAUAGAACUUCGUUUGCUAGCUUUGUGUCGUAUUGCAAGUACAUUAUUAGCCGGCAUAUGAGCCAUGAGUCCAUCCACAUUUUCUUCAAUGUGUGCACAUAAUGUUAAAUUCAUUUAAUUCAUAAAUGUCAAAUUACAAACAAUUAAUGCUCUCUCUCUAUCUGA
rnacentral:lncRNA from 1 species